GAUGAAGAACGCAGUGAAAUGCGAUACGUAAUGUGAAUUGCAGAAUUCAGUGAAUCAUCGAGUCUUUGAACGCACAUUGCGCCCCCUGGUAUUCCGGGGGGCAUGCCUGUCCGAGCGUCAUUGCUGCCCUCAAGCACGGCUUGUGUGUUGGGCCUCCGUCCUCCUCCCGGGGGACGGGCCCGAAAGGCAGCGGCGGCACCGCGUCCGGUCCUCGAGCGUAUGGGGCUUCGUCACCCGCUCUUGUAGGCCCGGCCGGCGCUUGCCGACACAUCAAUCUUUUUUCCAGGUUGACCUCGGAUCAGGUAGGGAUACCCGCUGAACUUAAGAAUAUCAAUAAGCGGAGGA
rnacentral:misc_RNA from 1 species